rnacentral:rRNA from 1 species
AAUCAACGCUGGCGGCGUGCCUAACACAUGCAAGUCGAACGAGAAAGUGGAGCAAUCCAUGAGUACAGUGGCGUACGGGUGAGUAACACGUGACUAACCUACCCUCGAGUGGGGAAUAACCUCGGGAAACCGGGGCUAAUACCGCAUAACAUCUACGGAUCAAAUGCGUAAGCAGCUUGAGGAGGGGGUCGCGGCUGAUUAGCUAGUUGGUGAGGUAAUGGCUCACCAAGGCUAUGAUCAGUAGCCGGCCUGAGAGGGCGCACGGCCACA